ensembl:lncRNA
GGUUGGAGUGCCAUGCCAGGUCUAGUUUAUGUAUACCAGAGAAACCAUUGAAAACACAGUGUAUGCAGUUCCUGAGGUUAUCCAAACAACACCACCCGUGGAACAGAGUCCAAUCAGUGAUGCUUCUCCAACAUCCACCUAUAGCUUUGUGAGACCUCACUCUGGACCCAACGGAUCCACUGAGGCCAGAAGCAAAGCUUUGCCUGAGAGCUUGUAUGCCCAGGUAGAAUACAAUCCCAGAUCCUAAAACCUCUUCAGAAAUUCUAAUUCAAAGUUUAAAAAGUAACUGCCUACCAAAGGCAAUACAAUUGUCAAAGUCCUCUUGGAGAAAAAAAAAGGGAAGAAGAGAAAGUAUAUCACACAUGUAGAGAAAGAUUUUAUGUUGAGGACUAACUGAGGCUUCUGUAAGGUGUGCUUUUGAUGGACUCAUGAACUUUCCUACAGUGUUCUGGUUUC